AUAUUUAUGAUUUUAUUUUUGUGCAAAAAGUUACACAACACUCAUCAUAAAGAUUCUGCUGAAGGUCGAGCUCAAGUACACCAGACUGAAGAAACUGGAGAUCUGAACUACGCAGCUCUCAGCUUUACUCAGCCUCCCUCCUCAAGAAGAAGCAGAACAAAGAACAGCGAUGAUCAGUCUGUGUACUCACAAGUGAAGAGCCAUCAAUAAAAUCAUAAUUAAUAUUAAAAUUUUACCAUUUUACCAUAUCAUUGUAACUGCUCUGUAAACAGUAUUCAUUUCAUAAAUAUUCACACUGUAUAUAGUGAACAAUCAGUAACUGCCUUUCUGUAUUUAUCAGUGUUUUUUUUAUAUAUAUAAUUUUUUAUUUAUCUAAAUAUAAUUACUGUCGUAUCUACAGAAUAAUUAGGUCUAUAUGAUAUUUUCAGAGGUGGAAAGUAAUAAAUUACAUUUACUCAAGUUACUGUAAUUGAGUAGAUUUUAUGAUUAAUUUGUAAUUUUUAAA